rnacentral:rRNA from 1 species
UGAGGAAUAUUGGUCAAUGGGCGAGAGCCUGAACCAGCCAAGUAGCGUGCAGGAUGACGGCCCUAUGGGUUGUAAACUGCUUUUGUAUGGGGAUAAAGUCAGUCACGUGUGAUUGUUUGCAGGUACCAUACGAAUAAGGACCGGCUAAUUCCGUGCCAGCAGCCGCGGUAAUACGGAAGGUCCGGGCGUUAUCCGGAUUUAUUGGGUUUAAAGGGAGCGUAGGCUGGAGAUUAAGUGUGUUGUGAAAUGUAGACACUCAACGUCUGACUUGCAGCGCAUACUGGUUUCCUUGAGUACGCACAACGUUGGCGGAAUUCGUCGUGUAGCGGUGAAAUGCUUAGAUAUGACGAAGAACUCCGAUUGCGAAGGCAGCUGACGGGAGCGCAACUGACGCUGAAGCUCGAAGGUGCGGGUAUCGAACAGGAUUAGAUACCCUGGUAGUCCGCACAGUAAACGAUGGAUGCCCGCUGUUGGUACCUGGUAUCAGCGGCUAAGCGAAAGCAUUAAGCAUCCCACCUGGGGAGUACGCCGGCAACGGUG